CUUCUUGCAAAACUUAUGCCUUAAUGAAAUUCAUGAAUCAAGAGAAAUUGUUGUUCCUUUUUUGUAAAAAAAUAAAUUUUGAUGAUUAAACUUUUAUGGUAAAUUCUGGUGGAUAUUAACCAUAUGCAACAUAAAUUUCUCCCACAUCACUGUUCUUAAUCUCAGCAAAGAUAAAACCCUCCACACAGAGCUUGCUGUUGCAUCACAGAAGAUGAGCUAUCUAGCAAAUAUUACAGAGGACUGAAUGCAGUAUACAUUUUGAGGAAGCACAUUCAAAAAAGAAAAAAAAGGCUGAUUUUUCCUCUUAGUUUCAUUUGAAUAAUCAGACUCUGAAUUGGAGGACUUAAAUGGAAGUCAAGGAACUUGGAGUGUGAUGAAGGAAGCAGCAAUCAGUUUGAAAAGAUGUUGAAUCUCUGAUGAGCGUUGAAUAUGUCAGAUUAAGUUAUGUCCUAGAAAGGGAGGUUCCCUGAACAACUGCUAGUCACUUUAAAUUAUUCUGCAUUUCAAACAGGAAAUCAUCCAAUUAGACUAACAGCUGCAGAGAUUGGAAUAAGCCUUGCAUAUUAGAAAAUUAAAGAAAAUGCAGCUGAAUACUAUGGAAAGGAGCUAAGGUUGAACUGGUACACCUAUGCAUAUAGGGGAGCAUCAGUACUCUUCCCAAAAGCAAAUUUUUUUCUGAGGGGCUAAAGGGUACUGGAAGGCUGCAAUUAGUUUCCCUGAACAGACUUGCUAGCCUCUGUCAGCACUGCUUGUCUGCACAAAAAAAGGCUAUAACUCAGUGGUUCUUUCCACCUGGGACCAUUUACAGGGAGGCUUUGAGUCAGAGAUGCUGUCUUUGAUCCCCAGUAAGACUAGAGAAACCCCUUUGCAGAGAGCUCAUGUCUGAGACUGCACUAGAAAAUGAUGUGUCUCCUCAGGGAUGCUGAAAAACUCACCACCAACCAGAAAGUGAUCAGUCUUUCACCUACAAGGAUCUGACUGAUGAGCCUGGAAGAGCAGCAAUGAGGCUUUAUUUCAACCUGUCAUGUUAUGAAGACUUUCUCAAAACCAGAAGAAAUCUACAAAAUUGCACAUUAAGUUGUAAGAGAAAAUAUUUUUUAGAUACUCUGCAACUGAUCGUACUUCUGCUUAUAAAAUUGCAAGAGAAGAUUCCUGCAAUCAGUCAUCAAAAUCUUCAAAAUAAACUGAACACCGUAGAUUAAGGGGGAAAGAAGAGGCAUGGAGUAGAACUGCCAAGAGUAGGAAGGAGAAUGCGCUCCUCAACCUUAUAUAACAGUGAAGGCCUUGCUGGAGACUUAUAAUUGGGGGCAGCCUUAGCUGCAGGGAGCAUGAGACUGUGAAGUUCAGUAUUGUGCAACGAGAAAGCAUGGCAGCAAGUAAGACACAAUCACAGGCUUCAUAAAAACUAGCUUUAACCUCUUCCAGGAUCUUCUUGGAAGAAUCCCAUGGGGACAGGUUCUGCAGGGUAGAGGAAUCUGAGAGCUGGUUAAUAAUCAAGAAUCACUUUAUCCAAUCUUAAAAACAAUUCUCUUGAGCUAGCAAUAAACAAAGGGGUGAAGAAACUCACAUGGGUGAAUAAAGAACUCCUGUCAUUAUUCAAGAACAAGCAGGAAAUAUACAGGAAGAUGGAAGCAGGAUCAGGCCACUUGAAAUUAAUAUAGAGAGAGAGGUAGCCAGAGUAAGUAGAAAUGAGAUGAGGAAGGCCACGGUCUAUCUGUGAUUAAUUCUGGCCAAGGAUAUCAAGGACAAGAAGAAGGGCUUUUUAAAAUAUGCCAACAGCAAAAAGAAAACAAAGGGUAAUGUGGGCCCUUUACUAAAUGGAGGGGGAUCCUGGUAACAGAGAGCGCAGAGAAGUCAGAGUUACUGAAUGUCUUCUUUGUGUUGGUCUUCACUGACAAGACCAGCCCUCAGAGCUCUCUUAUCCAGGACUGCAGGGUAGAAGAAUGUUGGAAGGAAGACUUUCCCUCAAACAGUGAAAAAGAGGAUGAGGGGUCCAGAGCAUUUCUCUUAUAAGUACAGGCUGAGGGAGCUGGGCCAGUUCAGUCCCAAGAAGACACGACUGAGAGGGACCUCGUCAAUAUAUACAAGUAUCCAAAGGGAGGGUGCCAAGAGGCAAGACCCAGGCUCUGCUUGGUGGUGUCAAGCAAUAGGACAUGAUGAAAUUGGCAAAACUGAUGCACAAGAAGAUUCCACCUGAAUAUGAGGGAUAACACCCUCCUAGCAAUAGUAUCUCAUCCACGAAAUUUCAGUGAGAAAAUGCUAACUGGUGAACUUUUGUGCUUUAGCUCUAUUGUUAGUCUUUUAUUCCUGUCUUCUCAACUUAGCCAAUUAACCUAUUUAGAUAUGUUAUUUAGGGUUAGGCUCUUUUCUUCUUUACUAAAGAGGGCACUUAGGUAGCCAGUUUAGCUGUCUACUCCACUGCCAAUCAAAGGGCUAGACUGAUUAUAACAAAGGUUCAGCAUCCAUACAUUUUAUAAAUAUUUACUGCACAUUUUUAUCCAUUUUAACCAAAACACCAUAGACAGCCAGCUUCACAGAAGGAGGUAUGUAGUGAUUCUUUACCCUGAACUGAGGUUUUUAAUCUUAAUAAUUUAAGUAUCCAAGUAAUUAAACACUGCAUCCCAGGUACAUAAUAGAUGUAUAUUUGAAUUAUUUGCACUGCAUUAUUUUUUCACAUUGGAAUUGUUAUUUUUUUGUAUAAUUAAAGAAAUUAAUCAUCAUGACACAAAACAACUGAAAAUAUUUGUGUACCCACAGUCAUACAGCAAUGCAGAUUGUGUGAACUGGAAUAAUUAGACCAAGAAUACUUGACAGAAUGUGAUAAGUCAGUAUAGUCCUGUCACGUGACAGACAUAACAGGACUGAAGUGAAGAAAUGGCAGACUACUACAUCCAAACCAACUGAUCAGAAAUGGUUUAGUGCCAGAUUAUUAUUCUAAACAAGACAUAUGAUGCAUACAGAACACUGUAAAGGCUCAGCAGGAACACAAUGCUUUCAGAUAUUACCAGUCUCAAAAAGCAUGAACUAUGACUUUCAGCACACAGGGAAGGGGAGUGAGGGAUUAAAGCAAUAACCUCUGUACAAUGAGUACUGUGUUUUUACAUCAUUAGCAAAACCAAAAUGACUGUUCUAUUUGUAUAAGCCUACAAAUAUUGAAAGAAAUUAUUAUUAUAUCAUAUCUGUUGGACUUGAACUGAGUUGAAUAAUUCUAUCUGCUUUGACAGCUGUCUGCAUUGGAUUUUCUGUUGCUAAAAGCAACAGCUUAGAUAUCUGUGAAAUGAAUGGACAAAAUAAUCCACAGGCACUUCAAAACUUUGUGUACAUGUUUAUUCUUACUGUAUGCCAUAUCCACAAACAUAUUUGAGUAUGUAAAAAUAUAUGUAUAUGUGUAUGUUGAGUAUGCUUUGCCAAACACCAAAUGGUUAUGCUGUGAAUGCAUAUGUACAGUAAUCAUGACUCUGAAACAUAUUUUUGCAAAAUAUUUAUUAAGUAGUUCAAUUUGUAGGAUUACAAGCUACUUAAACAAUUGUGCUAACUGAACAUAAUUGCUAUAUAUGUGAUCCUGAGGAGUAACCAGGAAUGGAGUAGUCCUAUAUUGUAUCUGUAGAAUGUUUUCCAAUCUAGACAAAGCACAGAUGUUUUAUCCCCAGAUAACAGUUCCAUCUGAGAUAAUAGGCAGGUUAAGAGAGACGUACAUCAGGAGCAGAACUGUUCCUCCUCCACGUCCAUGCAGUUCAAGUGGAUAAAACAGGUGAGAUUUGAGAGGAAUGCUGGGAAUGCCCAUCCAGUAGAGUAACCGAAUGACUGACUGACCAAAACAGAAAAGAAUACUGAAUUAGUGGAUGCCAGACAUGUUUUUACUAGAACCAAACACUUAAGACUCCUUCACAACAUGGAAAACCAGCUAUCACGGUGAAGGAAUACAGCGCUGGGAAUCAGGUCACCUUCUGACUUUAAGAAGAUUUCCAACCCCAAAGAAGGGAAGAGGUUAGACAGGCACUGCUUGGAAAGAGAGUGUGGCAUCACAGGGGACAGAGAUGGAAAUGAACAAGGCUGACAAAGUAAAUGGAGCAAAUUUCUUUGGAGGGCUAGAAUGUACUUUUCCCCUAGUCUAAAAAAGUGCAGUUUUCUGUUGCUUUUUGGUUGGAUGGAAUUGUCUUGACCUUCUGUUGGACUGCAAAUAAAGUCGGAGAUUCUGCAUAACAAGGACAUUGAUACUCACUGCCCUAAAUAGCAGGAGGAAGGAGCCAUCUAAUGCUCUGUUGUCAUAUACUUCCCAGAACCUCAUGUCUCGUCAGAGGAAAUAAUUUUCAUUCUCCUUUUUCAUUUACAGCUAACAAAGACAGGAAAACCUUUACCUUACUACUGAAUAGUAGUAAGGUGUUAUGUAACAAUCUGCUUUUUGAUUUCCAGUACUUUUGGAUGAGUUCUAAUUCUAUUGUCUAACACUGACAAAUUACUAUCAUUAGUGAGACAAUUUCAGUGAAGAUAUAUAAAUAACCAAUUAUAAUUUAUAAAUUGCAUACUACUUAUAUAUAUAUAAUUUACAAAUUCUGAAAAAUAAACCACAUAUAGAUAAAUUAAAUACGAUACAUAAUGAAACAAGCAGAUAGAAGUUGAUUUAAGCUAAUUAAAAAUUGCCCAUCUACCCUCAUUAUGGUUCCUAAUGUAUUCAUCUCUGUUAGAAUCUUUCAUCUCUCAUGUCUGCUGAAACAAAGGAAAGAAAAUUAAUUAGAAUUAUUUAAUACUUUUUUGUUUAUAUAUGGAGGAUUUUUUCCUUUAAAAAAUAGGCCUUAAUAGAAAUAAACUAGGAUAUGUCCCUAGCUUAUUUCUUGUCCAUUAAUUGUUAUCUAUGUUGCUACAGUAAAUCUCUAGCAUUUGUUGUUGUUUAAUUCAAAGAACUAUUCCAGCUGCAAGAGCAGCCUGAAUUUCAUCAGUGAAUAACAAAAGCUCUUCUACAUUCUUGAAUCCUUGGGAUGUGCCUUAAGAAGGGCUCAGAGUAUUUCAAAUUUUUAACUUAAAUUAAUUCAUAACAGUGCCAGUUUUUUUCCACAGUCCAUAAAGACAGCUUAGACUGACUCGCAUAGGUGAGUCCCUUCUGGUUUCCUGUCUCCUGCCUAUUGUCUACACGUGUGGUUGGGAUAUGGAAAUGUUUUUUCCUAGUGUGAUAAUCACCAACGAGGAAAACAGGAAGAAACAUUAUAUGCUGAGAGUGGCAGAAAGAGUUUAUUUAAAUUCUACUGAGUUUCCUGUUUCAGCACUUAGUGAUGGUAUCCAGUAUAACUUUAGGCCAUUCUCUCAGAGUCCAAGUCUAGUGUUUUUGCAUAUCAAAUUUUACAGGACUACUGAAUCAUAAAAUCAUUUAGGUUGGAAAAGACUACAAGAUCAUUGAGUCCAAACAAUCAUCACUUUGGUAACUAAAUCACAGCACCAAGAGCAGCCCCUCAAUGUCUUCCUUGUCGUGGUGGGCCCAAAACUGAACACAGCAUUCAAAGUUUGGUCUCAGUGCCGAGUACAGGGGGAUGGUCUCUGCACUGGUCCUGGUGGACACACUAUUGUUGAUACAAUAUUUUGAUAUUUUGGUAUUCUACAAAAUAUUCAUAGAGAAGCUUACUUAUCAGGAAAAACUAAUUUUGAAAGUAAUUUAUAACUCCAUCACAGAAAAAGAAGCAGAGAAUCUCUUAACACUGGCAGCUUUCUUCCUAGGGUCUCCUGUACACAAUGGAAGCUGAAAUUUCUGUGAUACACAUGUAUCAAUUUCUACUUAUCAUGCUUCUUAAGACAGGAAUUUAAGGACUGUUAGACAAAUUUGACUUUUUAAGAAAAUUAUCACAAAUGCAUUAUUAUUGUUUUUCUAUUUCUACAUAUUUUUGGUAAAGCAAAACAAAAUGAAAAACCAAACAAACAUGUAUACCAAAAAUCCCCUAGCAAUGACUAAAGACUCGUGGCUUGAUCACCUUUCAGUCUUAAAGGUAAAAUGAUCAUGGUGUUAAUAAAAUAUUUUAAAAGUCUCUUUAGAAAGAAGGGUACAAACUACAUUCAGAAUAAAUACUGUUUGAUAUUUUAUAAUCUAAUGCAGUUAUUUAACAUAAACAGGAUAAAUUUGGAGUCAGUCAUUUGUGCUACCUUAUCCUUACAAAAAAAUACAAGUGGUCAUUUAAAAGGGAACGUGGCAUAUAAGAAACUAAACUAUCAAUAGCACUGGUAAUAUAGUAGAGCCCAAGGCCCAGAAGAAAUCAAGAUUGCGGGGAAAAGUCAGUAGUUGGAAGAGUUUUCAUCCAGAACUGAAAGCCCAGACUCUUCUGUAAAAAUGAACACAUCUGAAAUACAGCUGGAGUGUGGGAGAAUCAAAGCAAUACAGAGCAGCUGAGCUGGGGAUGUACCUCUGGGGAUCAUUAGUCAAACUCAUGCUGCAGGCAGGAUCACUAAAAGCAAGUUCCCCCAGAUCAUCUCCAGUCAGACUUUCAAUAUCUCCAAAGAUUUCUAUACCUACGUCCAGUAUUUGACCACUGUCCCAGUAAAAAGAAGUUUAUUUCUUAUAUUCAAAUAGCAUGUCUUGUACUUUAACUAGUGCCUGAAAAACAGCCUACAGAUCUGCUCUGGCAGCUUCAUUCCUUUCUCUAACUUGGUGGGGGAAGAAAGUGGGAUUUUGUUGGCAGGCAGUUCACUAAAUUCACAAAAAUACCAAAAGGAGGAUGCUACUGUCAUGAAGUUGUAUUAAAAAGACAUAUGAAGCUGAAUAAUAUGUCAGUGAGAGAGACUGUCUUUUGCAACUUAUGUUAAAAGCUGGCAAGUGGCUGCUGCACAUGUAGGACCUCAGACGGGUCUCCUUCCUUUCUCUAGCCAUUCCCAAGAGGAAACAGGAGAUUACAAUGGCCAUGAAACUCCCAGGAAAGGUAGAGCUAAACCAGCUCUGCAUAGUCUUGGUGCUGGAAAAGGAAGACAAGGAGUAAAAUGAAGGCUAUUCACCUGAGUUUUGUGAGGACUGGACUUAUGGGAAGAUCCAGAGAAGGGGACAUCCCUCCUUUGAGUUACAAGUGUACAUGAUGGCAAAGUCUGUAGUGAGCUCUCAAUCUGAUCAUUUCUCCAGCCAUCAAUCUGCCAUUUCAUGUCUAUAUUUGCCUUUAUCUCUAUUUGCAAAAGAAAAUAUGCCUCUGUUCUUAGAAAAUGCAAAUGUCUCUGAAGAAAGUAAAGUAAAUAUGAGAGAAAAAUCUGAAUAUGCGGAAACAAUUUUUUGCUGUGAGAGUAACCAAGAAAUGACACAGGUUGCCAGAGAGAUGGUGGACUCUUCAUCCUUGCAGAUAAUCAAAAGGCAUCUGACCUGGUCCUGAGAAACCUGCUCUAGGUGGCACUGCUUGAAUAGGGGAGGUGGACCAAAUGACA